rnacentral:rRNA from 1 species
UACGUAGGGGGCUAGCGUUGUCCGGAAUCAUUGGGCGUAAAGAGCGUGUAGGCUGCUCGGUAAGUCCGCUGUAAAAGUCAAAGGCUCAACCUUUGAAUGUCAGUGGAUACUGCCGGGCUAGAGUCCGGAAGAGGGCGAGUGGAACUCCUGGUGUAGCGGUGGAAAUGCGCAGAUAUCGGAGGAGACACGUGGCGAAGGCAGGCU